GAACCAUAUUGCUCAAUACAAGAUUCCUGGUCAGUGCAUUCUAGUACAAGGGGAGUCUCACUAGAAACUGAUACAGCACAGUUGUUCUGGCUAGAUAAGAAGACCAGGAGAAAGGUCCAUAUAUGAGAACUUCCUCCAGACAGCAGUUCUGCCAGAACAGCUCUCUAAAAACAGCGGCAGGAACCACAGAGAUCAAAAAUGACACUAACCAGGCUGCUUUCCUGCCUCCUCCAAACUGGAGUUCCCGUCUCGAUCUGGAACAGCUGCUGGGAGGAACAUGCUGCUGGGCAUCACCAUCUCAGGGGUGGUCACCUGAGAAAUAAGAGGCAGAGAAAUGAGGUCGCUUCGAAGAGAGAGGAGAUUCCGAGCUACCUGUGAAGGAGAUGCGUUUGGAGGUCGCAGGAGAAUCUGUCAGCUCCUUCUCUGCUUGGCUGGACGACGCUAGAAGGAAAAGCAGACGAUGCGCUACAGCAGCCAGACCAGGCCAGCUCCCAGAGGGUUUGUGCUGGGUGAAAAUCAACAUUCAUUUAUAGCACAGGAUUUUCUUGAAACACCAAAAUUCAAGUAGGAUGAGCAUCCGGACUGACUUACCAAGCGCGCUGGGAAAGAAGCAAGUGUUCCGUUUCCCCCCAUGAAUUUCUGUCACUAUUUUAACAACUAAACGCUAAGAAAAAAGAUAAAUGGACUACAAGGCUCGGAGCUGGAUUAAGCUAAAUUCGGUGUGCUCUGACUCUCCCCAGUAAGGACACAAUCUGCUGGCCUACAGGGGGCAGUAGGGCUGCGAGUGGGCAGGAAAGUCUCACCAGUGGCUCUGCAAAUGGCUAGUCAACCCGAGCACCCCAGACGCACUCUGCCUUCUAAGAAGUCCUCAACUACGUGAGCCCAACUAGAUUUUCCCAGCUCUUGGAAUCACACCACAGCACAUCACAGAAGACGUGACACAUGUGACUUGUUCACAUGGUUCACAUGGAUAUCCACAUACAAAUACUUGGUGGAAAAAAUCAAGUUUGGGUUUAGUAACCUGCUUUGGGGGGAAAAAUAAUUGAAGAGUGGAGGAGGUAGGGCAUGAAUCCAACAUAUAAUCUGGCCAAUGCCCCAGACACAAGGGUUUAUUCCAAGUGGCUGGUGAGAGGGAAAGUCUCCUCUCUGCUUGCCCAAACCAUGCCCCAUUUCACCAACAAAACGACCAAAACAUCCAUUAAUGAGAAAGGUCACAUGAGACUUAAGAAGCAAACAGCAGGUAGAGAAAUGUGGGUAGAAGGAGUUCUCUGAAACAUGGAAAAGAAUGUGGAAAAUUCUGAUAAGAAACCCGCUGGGUUAAAGGCUCAACAAGGAUCAGCAGGGCUUCUCCAUCGUAAACACAAAUCCCAACAGAAGUAGAUGUAGUCAUCCCAAAACCUGGUCAGUAUCUGGGGGUUGGUUCUAUCACAAAUGAUUUUUAAAAUCCCAAAAAUGGGGGCGCCUGGGUGGCUCAGUCAGUUAAGCCUCCAACU